GAUGAACGCUGGCGGCGUGCUUAACACAUGCAAGUCGAACGGUGAAGGCGGAGCUUGCUCUGCUGGAUCAGUGGCGAACGGGUGAGUAACACGUGAGCAAUCUGCCCCUGACUCUGGGAUAAGCGCUGGAAACGGCGUCUAAUACUGGAUACGAGCUGCGAAGGCAUCUUCAGCAGCUGGAAAGAAUUUCGGUCAGGGAUGAGCUCGCGGCCUAUCAGCUUGUUGGUGAGGUAAUGGCUCACCAAGGCGUCGACGGGUAGCCGGCCUGAGAGGGUGACCGGCCACACUGGGACUGAGACACGGCCCAGACUCCUACGGGAGGCAGCAGUGGGGAAUAUUGCACAAUGGGCGAAAGCCUGAUGCAGCAACGCCGCGUGAGGGACGACGGCCUUCGGGUUGUAAACCUCUUUUAGCAGGGAAGAAGCGAAAGUGACGUUACCUGCAGAAAAAGCGCCGGCUAACUACGUG
rnacentral:rRNA from 1 species